AAAAAAAAACAGAGCUCUUCACUCAACCAGUGGCAUUCUCCUUUUUAAGGUUCUGGUUUUUAAAAUAACGAUUGUAAAGAGUUUCAGAAGUCACGUAAGAAAUAAUACUCUUCCUUUAUGCCUAUGUGUUUGAACGUUGUCUCACCAAAACUAACACUGAACUCUUUCUUUCCAGCCAAUUUACACACAAGAGGUCUGUCCAUCUUUGCCAGAGGUCUGUAAGUGCCGUGGUGGCUUCCCGGUGACAGCCGCGGUUUGCGGGAGCUCCGUGGUCCUCACGGGGGUGCAGCGUGGCCACGGAUCAGUGCUUCCUACUCCGGCCCUGAUUGUGUUUGUGAAGAAGUGAGUGGGUUGUUUACUUGCUAAGUCAGCUCCCUGUUCUUGAGAGAAAUCCGUGAUUCCUGCCCAGACUUGGGGGGACUCAUGCGGUUCACACCCACACAGAUCAGAAAGGAAUAGGAGCAAAGGAGCAGGACCUUCUAUCAUUUAUAUAACAGACUGGCUGAUCUUUCGUGUUUUGUUGUUUUGUUUCAAGCUAACUCUCUUCCUCCCUCCAAGUUUGAUACCUUUUGUAAAGUACAUAUAACUGAUAAUAAUUAGGAGACUCGACCUCUUCAUCCAUGAGGACUGCGGAGCCCUGAUUCUCAAUUCCUGUAGCUCAGGUGUCCUUUCUAAAGUAGAGUUUUCUGGAGGGUGAGUCCAUCUUAAGGUGUCAGAACCAUUUUCAAAUGCUAAGCAGUUCCAUGCAAAUAUGGACCUGUCCUUUUCUACUCCAUCCUGAUCAUUCAGUGAUUUCUGAAGUCCUCGUCAUCUUGGUCAAGUUGUGUGGCAUUUUUACCCUUGGUGAAAAAUCAACUUUAGAAAAACUAACCAGCCUGGAUACUGUCCAUCAGUGUAGUCAUUGCGACCUUCUGUAGGGAUAAAAGUUUUAAUUUGUGCAAAUCAAAACUGAUGUGUGGCUCUCAGGGGCCACUCUGCUUCAUGCAGCCCGUUUGAAACCUUACGUUCUCUAAUAACGGAAGCGCCUUUGUCUGGAUGUUCGUUUUAUCUGAGUUUGCUGAUUUCUUUACCUUCGUACACAUCUUACAGCACAAAUAUUAUGCCAGAUUUGAUCUGAAACCGGUGCUUGUUGUAGGCAGAUCUGUAGUAGCGCUGUGUUUAUAAUUUUCAUAUGUUGACAAGUAGACUAGUUGGCGUAUUCAGAGAUUGCACCGCGAUGCUCGCACUGCUGGAGGGGAGAGGGGACGCUCAGCAGUGACACUGCUGCCCCCCAGGGGGGCUCUGCCAACCUUUAUACUUCAUUGUUCGGGUUUAUUAACUUUUUGUAUGAAUAACUACAGAAAUUGGUAAUACACGCCUGUACCGUAGGCUUCGAUGUUUACAUAAAUGUUACCCAGAAGGUGACUAUUUUCUUGGAUAUGAGGUCAAGAUUUUUGAAAAACACAAUGCUGUGGGAAUGGAGUCAUUUUGCAAUUAAGUAAAAACUUCGUUAUAACUCACAAGGUAAAUUUAAUCCAAAUUGAAAUUUUGUUUCAAGUGAACUUACAAUUAAUUGUGUGAAUUUACUUGUUUUUAAUGGUUAUUAAUAUUUCAAUCAGGUAUCUUUUUUAAGGAAAAACAAACUGUACAUGCAGAACUGGAGACAUUUUUUUGCACUGUGUCAAUAAACCUUUGUACACACGCAUUCACAGAGUGUAAGUUGGUGUGUGCACACACACAUUAGCGGGUUUUAAAAAUUAACAAAUGGGCUCUUCCUUCCAUUCUGUGAUCCUAAACCCUCCUCAGCCUUCUUCCCUGUAUAGGAGACGAUCCCCGAGUCAGCGAGCUGCACAUCUGCAGCUCACAGGAACCGAGAGCAAGCAUGUGUCUCUGUUAAGAGUUUAAAGCUCAGGGACAGGGGAUUUGAGCACGUGAACCUACCCCAUCAGAAACUGAGGAGAAUUCAGACCGCUCCCAGCCCGCAUCUACACAUCCUUCACUGUAGAGACUUUUCCACAACAAGAUGCUGAUUUUUUUUAAGUGAUGAUACCAUAUGUCAUUUUUAAGGGUUGAGGGGACACGCAGGAAAGGUAAUGUUUAAGUGAGUUGUAGUUUAACUGUUUCAACUAAAUUGCAUUUUUGGGACUUUUCUGCUUAGUAUUUGCUUCUGUUAAUUUUAUUAGCUUUACUUUUCAAUUUUCAGAGAGUUCUUUAUAAAUUCACGAAGGGGUGCUGGGGUGGCUUAGUUGGUUAAGCGUCUAACUCUUGAUUUCGACUCCAGUUAUGAUCUCACAGUUUGUGGGAUUGAGCCCCAUGUUGGACUCUGGGCUGACAGUGUGGAGCCUGCUUUCUCUCUCUCUCCUUCUUUCUCUGCCCCUCCACUAUUCAUGCACACUCUCUUUCUCAAAAAUGAAUAAAUAUUUUUAAAAAAUAAAUCGAUGGAAAGAAAAAUUAUAAAUGUUCAGGGCCGGUUUAUAAAUAAAAUGACCACUUAUGAUAUUUGCAAAACAUAGAGGAUUUAUUUUUCCAAAUAGUAAUGAACGGGGUAUAGUUUGCUUAGUUUUUUUCUAUGCUGUUUUCAAGUCAGACAUUUUUAUUUUUAACUUUCUAAGGUGGUUGUUUUUGAGUUGACUAAUAGAUGUUCGUUUUACUUCAGACACAGUAUUUCCAGAAGCAUUCAGAAGGAGAUCCACGUUUCUUAUAUUGUUUCCUGAUUCUGGCCAAAAGAUGACUCAGGAAAAUGUUAGGAUCUUGUCCAAAGAAAGCUUGAAACUAAAACAAUGCACAAAAACAAACAAAAAACAUAGGUUAUCAAUGAAUUAAGACCACUGCAAGAAAAAGGAACUGUAGUUAAGACAUAGGACCUUUGAAAUUGUUUGCCGUUGUAAUUGCAGUAUGAACCCAGAGUAUGGCUCUGGAAGGUCUCCCUGUGCCCAGCCAGGGGUCCACCAAGUCUAUGUAGCCCUCUGAUGGCCAUGAAGUUUCCUAAGCCCUCACUGACCUCUUUCUGUUUAAAUAAUGUCAGUAACAUGUUCUGUACAGUUACCAUCUUCUGUGUAAAAUAGGGCUUGUAUUUCCCCUGAAAUUUACCUAUUUAAGCAUGGACCCUUCGGUUUGUUUUUAUUGUAGAAUUUCAUGAGCAAAUCCUCCUAAUUACCUUUGUGGUUUUAGAGUCUUUAACCAUAAUCCUUCCACUCAUAAACAUCUGAAUGAUAACUUUUAGUUAGUCACAUGCAGAAGCUACACCAGCCCCCUUCUGGGGGGGUUCAUCCCUGUUGGGACCUCGGGUGGUGAACACCACCUCCAGGAUCGAGUGUUUCCAGUGUAUUUUUAUAAGGAUGUUACUGGGCACUAAGCCAAAAAACAAAACAAAACAACAACAACAACAACAACAAAAAUGGUCUCUGGUCAAAUGUUUGGGGAGAGCUUGGUUAAAGUUGAGCACUGGAUAAGGUCUGGUAGGCACAUUUUAUACACAUCAAAAUUUAGAAAAACAUGCUCCAAGAUAACACUGAUUGGCCAGUUACUUGAAGGCAUGAUUUCCACCCUGAACGCUACCCAGUUCAAGAAUGUAGGAUCCUCUAAAGUCAAGGUGUAAAAUGCCUCACCCAGCUCUCCUAAAUAUGGUCACUUACCUGUCUCAUGCCUCCUCGCGGGUUAGCAGUGCCAGUACCGAGACCUGGAAAACAGUAUUUGAAAACCAUUCAUCAUCAGAUCUGUGGUUUCUAUUUUAUGCUUGUUUUAUUUAAAACACACAAAAUAGAGUAUUACUGAGUCGUGCCUAGUUUCUGAUCUCCCUGUUUUCACUCUGCAGCAAUAUUUACCUGAAGGCUGCUGGGCAAGUACCCUUGUCCUUGUCUCUGAUGGAGUUCACAGAGGGCGCUGUGUUCUCCCCAGUAGUCCACUCAAAACAUUUUACAUGAAUGGACUUCUAUUAAACAGUGUCUAUUAAAGUCCCCAUUUUGUUUCCAAAAUGUUUUGAGCCUUGGUGUCAUUGCUUAGUGGAAUACGGUUGGAGAAACUAGUAAGAGCUAACAUUUUGUUGAUAACUGCGUGUGAUGGCGGUGAGCAUUUCACUUGCAUUUUCUCAUUGACUUCACAAGAGCCCCAUGAGGUGGAUAUUUGUAUGAAUCCUGUUUACUGAUGAUGAAACUGAGGUACCAGAAGAUUAAGUAAUUUGCAUAAGAUUUUAACAAGUAGGAACCCAGAAUUACUGGCCUCCACAUCAGGCUCUGCGCCGACAGCACGGAGUCUGCUUAGGAUUCUCUUUUCCUCCCCUUCGCUCUGUCCCUCCCUUGCGUGCACAUGUGCACUCUCUCUCUCUCUCUCUCUCAAAAUAAAUAAACAUUUUAGGGGCGCCUGGGUGGCUCAGUCGGUUGAGCGUCCGACUUCGGCUCAGGUCGUGAUCUCACGGUCCGUGAGUUCGAGCCCCGCGUCGGGCUCUGUGCUGACAGCUCAGAGCCUGGAGCCUGCUUCGGAUGCCUUGUCUCCCUCUCCCUCUGACCCUCCCCCGUUCAUGCUCUCUCUCUGUCUAAAAAAUAAACAUUAAAUAAUAAAUAAACAAACAAACAUUUUUUAAAAAAUAAAUAGGGGUGCCUGGGUGGCUCAGUCAGUUAAGCAUCUGACUUCGGCUCAGGUCAUGAUCUCACGGUCCGUGAGUUUGAGCCGCGCGUUGGGCUCUGUGCUGACAGCUCAGAGCCUGGAGCCUGGUUCAGAUUCUGGGUCUCCUUCUCUCUCUGCCCCUCCCCUGCUCAUGCUCUGUCUCUCUCUGUCUCAAAAAUAAAUAAACAUUAAAAAGAUUAAAAAAAAAUAAAAUUGCACUUACUGGGAAUGGAUAACACUCUCCUUCCUCUCCAAAAUAAAUGUGUACAGAAAAAAAAUGUAGAUAUGCUGAGGUACCAAGGAGAGCAUGAUGCUUGCAAGGAGUUGGUGAGAAAGAGAAAACACCAAAUUGCAGAGGAGUCUUUACACCAGAAGUGGAGAGUGUUGGGCAGUUUAUUAGCAUGUUUUAUAGAACACCUUUCUAUUCCAAAACAGGUUUUUACCUCACAUAGUGGAUGAGAAUAGGGAGUAAUUCAGUGGCAAUAAAAUCAGACAGCCUGUACACGCAUGAAUUAUUUUACCUGCUUUCCUAAGACUGUCGUCUCUCUCUGCCCCUAACAUCUCCAGCAUUUGCAGGAGGUACACUCUUUCCAGUUCAUCCAAGGUUGAUCUUGCGUCUCCAUCAGGUGCUACACAGAGUAAUAGAAGAGAACGUGAGCAGGGCAGAGGGGCGGAAGGAGAGAGAGAAUCUCUAGGCAGGCUCCACACUCAGCACAGAGCCCAACACGGGGCCUGAUCCCACGACCCUGAGAUCAAGACCUGAGCCGAAAUCAAGAGUCAGACACUCAACCAACUAAGCCUCCCAGGUGCCUCUCAAUGCCUGUUUUUGACCAUCGAUGUGACUGACAGGAGGUCAUGGGCUGCGCCAAAUCAUGGACACAGAUGACUGACCAACAAGGCUUUUGCUGAUUGUCAAAAAGCCUCUUGGGAGAAACCUUAGAGACAAGAAAUUAUAAAAUCAAUGGUCCAGAAGGGUUUUCCUCUUCACUUAAAAUUUUAAGUCUAAAAGUACCCCAAAUGAAAGGCAAGAUAAAAUCCAGUUAAAGUUUUAGUGGAAACUAAUAACCAAGCAUCAGCCUUUUCAUUUCUGAAACUAAAUUAAGAGGAAAUAGCAAAAUAAGUAUCUGCUUGACUGAUUUUUUUUUAAAAAUUCGACUUACACUCGAUCUGAAUGGAACAUAAAUCAAAAGGACAAGAUACUUGUACCUGGAAAUCGGUGUCAUCCCGAGCUCUAGAUUGUCAUUUUUGUAUUUUUUAAUAAAUAUUUUUGCUUCAUGUAACACAUGUCAGGUGAUUACUUUUUAACUUAAUAUAAAAUAGUUUUAAUCUACAAUUGGAACAACCAAAUUCUACAUCCAACCAGUUCGUUUAAAAUAGAAACUAAGAGUAAUGAUGUUUUCAAUGUAGUACAGUUUUUAAAAUUGGAAAAAAAAAACAACCAAAACAACAUUUUUGGGUUACAGAAGUGACAUGAAUUAAGCAAAGCCACCCUUUCGACCCCUAUGUUUUAGAAAGAAAGUAAAAAACCUACAAUGUGCCGUAAGGAUCCUCUAGUAUUCUAUCCAUAGCUAAGACUUAAUUUAGCAAGACUCCUUCAAGAAAGAAUUCCCGUCCUUCUCUCCCAACUUUGCAUAUGAGACCCUCAAAGACUCUUCCAAGACUAACAUAAAGGGGACAAAUCCAUCUUACCUGAGAGCUUCAGAGCCUCUUCCCUGGAGUCAGGGACGGGCAGAGAGAAGAGAGGUUGUAAGCAUCCUAUGAAAAGCAGACAACAAACCAGCUUGUGCAUGCUUGGCAAGAGACAGAAGUCUUCCUUCUUGGCUUCUGUUGCUCAGAACUUUCAACUUGCUCCUCAUUCUGUGAUCGGCGAUAUAUAUAUGAUCCUAUGACUCAUAUCACCCCCCUCCAAAAAAUUAAAUUUAUUGGCUAUGGAGGCUAAAAGGCAAUCACUUUGCAUUGAUGUAAUUUUUCAAGGUUAACAACUCAUAGACAAUAAAUUUGCUGUCAUUGCCUAGUGUACAAAGUAGGCAUUAUAUAAAGACAGAACAGUUAGGUUUAUAAAUCUGGCCAAAAGAGUAACUGCGAGCAAUAAAUCAUAAAUUCAAGGAAGGGUAGCACCGGGGUUGAAGUGGCCAAGGUGAAGACAUGGGUUGAUGAGUCCCAGCAGGCAUGAUGCAGGCAUGACCUGGAAUAUGUUGCUCUCCCUUUUUGUAACCUCUCAAGAAUGAUAGAUGAACUGUCUUGUUGUGUUGGGGGCUUCCAUGCCCAAAGAAUGACAAUGUCCAGAUUGAAACUUAAAAUCAGUUCUUUACUUUAGUGAAGAGAAGUUAAAAUGCACAGCAAACAUUUGGGCCCAAAGCAGCCUUAAAUUACAAUAUUAUCCAUCAAGGAGGGAUAGAGCACAAACCUGAAACCCUCGCCGAUCAAUAUUCCCCGCGUCUGACUGUUGCCUUGCACUCCCACUCUGCCCCACCGGCAUCCACACAGCACAGGGGUGCCUCUGACACACAAGUGUGAUCAUGUCAGGUCCUUGCUCAAAACCCUCGAUGGACCUGAAAUAAAAGCUAAAACAACAGAAUGACUAGGGGGGAAAAAAAAACAAAAAACAACCCUUGAGCCCCUCCACAACCUUGGGGUAGACAGACAUUUCUUAGCCGAGACACCAACCACAUAAGCAAGAAAUGGAUAGAUCCGACUGCACCGGGAUUAGAAACAUCUGCUCUUUGCCAGAUGCUGGUAAGAAAAUGAAACGACCAGCCACUGCUGCAAGAAAAUAGUCACAAAACGGGUCCCUGAUGCAAGACUUCUCUGUAGAUACAAAAUGUGUAUAAAGAAUUGCAACUCAAUAAGCCAAUAACCCAAGUAAAGGAGUGAACACAUACUCCACAGCUGUAUAUAAGAAGGUGUAUAAGGACAUGGGGAAAUACCCAGCAUUGAUUCCAUCAGAGAAAUGCAAAUGAAGAUCACAGUGAGGGGCUACCAUGCACCCACCACAGCAGCUGCAGCCGAGAAGACCGACAAUCCCAGGUGUUGGCGAAGGCGCAGGGCCCGUGGGGAAACAAAACAGCACAACCGGCAGGCUUGGGUGGUUCAGUCAGUUGAGCAUCCGGCUCUUGAUUUUGGCUCAGGUCACGAUCUCCCAGCUUGUGAGUUCCAGCCCCACGCUGGGCUCUGCACUUGGAAGUGUGGAACUUGCGUAGGAUUACUUCUCUCUCUCUCUCUCGCUCUCUCGCUCGCUCUCUGUUCCUCCCCUGCUAGUGCUCUCUCUCUCCCUCUCAAAAUAAAUAAAUGAACUUAAAAAAAAAAAAAAAAACGGCACCACCUCCCUGUUUGUAACUUUCUUGUAAAGUUAAGCGUACGUUAAAGUGUGCAACCCAGAAAGCCCGCCGCUAGACUAUGCUAGGUCUACAGUUGCUCAAGCGAAAUGAAUACAUAGACCCGAGGAACGCUUGUAUGCAAACACUCACAGCAGCUUUGUUCAUAAUAGCAGAAAACUGCAAACAACGCAGCGUCCAUCCACAGACGUGUGGACGAAUAAACCGUGCUAAAGCCUAUGAGGAGGAUUCUGCUUAACAACACAAGGGAACUGCUCAUAAACACGACAUGAUGAUAAAAUCACAAAAAUUUUAUGCUGAGCAAACUAAGCCAGACCUCGGAGAGCACGUGCAGCAUGAUUCCACGUAAAUGAAGCUCUAGAACUUGCAGCACACUCCAGUGGGAGGCGGAGGGUUGACUGUGCAGAGACUGGGGCACCCACUGGGGUAAUGAAAACGUUCUGUGUCUUGAGCAAGGCAACAGUUACAUAGUUACACAUACAUUGACCAAAACUCAGACUAUAUACUUAACGUGGGUGCAUUUGAUUGUAUGUAAAUGAUACCUGAAUAAGGGUGACUGCGUUUGAAAUCUCCCUUGGCUCCAGGUUCAUGUUUCACGUCUUCCAAUACCACUUUCCCCUACAGCUAAACUCUACUGCUUCCUGAACACAUUCCUGCCACAGGACCUUUGCAAUGACUGCUGCUGACCUGAAACGGUCUUUGUUCCGACAUGUGCCUGGCUCUCUUCCUCACCUCCUUCACGUGUUUGCUAGAACACUACCUCCUACGUUUAGUUUAGAUUAAUUUAUAUCUCAGAUAACCAUUUCGUGUAAAUGGCCAGUGAAUGCCGUCCUUGUCAACUGCACGAUGGCAAUAACUCUUGGGCAUCGUAGCCCCACCUCGCCCCCCAGGAGAAUCGGGGGGCUUCUCGGGAGAGGUGAAUGGGGACCAGGUGAGAAAACAGCCUGAACCAAAGCCCAGAGGAUGCGCUCAGUGUGUUUGCGAAAGGCUGGGCACAGCUUGCUAAGACCAGAGAGGUAUGUGGGACUAGGUCAUAUCACCAAGGUAAGGAAUUUGGAUUUGUGUCCUUUAAUGGCAAAGAGGAGAGGCAAUGAAGGGUUUUAAACAAGGGUUUUUAAUGUGUCAUUCACAUCUGGGUAUCAGGUGGCGAUAAAUGCCAUGAAGAACUAGACUUAGGAAGGUGAUGGGAUGGAGAGGCUAUUUUAGGUAGGAGAUCAGUAUAGAAGGAAAGGAGGAGAGUGUUGUGUGGCUGUCUGUGAAAAAAAGCAUUCCAGGCAAAGGGGAUAGAACUGCCAAGCCCCUGGGGUAGGACUGGGUCUUGCCUGCUUUCAGCAACACCCUGGGGGUCAGCAUGGCUCCAGGAGAGUUGAUCAAGGGGGAGGACAGUGCAGGUUGCAGACAGAGAGACGGUAGAGGGACAGAUCUAGGUUCUUGAUGGCUAUUUUAGGGACCUGGAGUUUUAAAGUGAGUAGGUUAGGAAGCCUGUGUGGAGCACAGAUAUGGCAGAAUGUGAAUGGUGUUUUUAAAGGCUCACUCUGGCCACUGUGUGGGGAGGAGACUGCAAGGGGUGGGGCGUGGACAAGGCAGAAGAGGAGAGACUGCCCUCUAAAGGCUGGAACUGGGGGUGGUGAUAAUGGCUGGAUAUUGCACUUAUUGUGGGUUUUUUAAAGUUUAUUUAUUUUGAGAGAGUGAAAGAAAGGGAGUGAGCAUGAGCGGGGAGGGGCAGAGAGAGAGGAUCCCAAGCAGGCUCCACACUGUCAGCGCAGAGCCCAAUGUGGGGCUCGAUCUCACAGUUCAUGACCUGAGCUGAAAUCAAGAGUCGGAUGCUCAACUGACUGAGCCACCCAGGCACCCCUGCAGCUAUCUUGAAGGACAAACCACUAGGAUUUUCUGGUGAAUUGCCUCAAGAGACUGGCAUUCAAGAGAAUUGCCCAACGUUCCUGACCUGAGAACCUGGAAGGGCUCCAUCACCUGUAAGAAAAUGUGGAUAUCCAUGGGUAGAGCAGGUUUGCAGGGGGAUUGUCGAGAGUGGUUUGGACAUGUUGGUUGGAGACCUGCCAGGCAGAGGUCAAGAAGGAGCUGGAGGCACUCGAGAUCAGGCAGAAGACCUGGGCUAUAGAUUAAACCUGAAGUCAGCAGAUGGUGUGCAAAGGCAUAGGGCUGCAUGGGUCACCAAGGACUUGGGGAUGGACAGGAAAGGAGAGCAGAGGAGAUGAGGGCCCAGGAGGCCCACGGAGUCUUUGGCAAGAGCGGUUUGGUGGCAUCGAGGGUUGAGAGGCUGAUUAGAAUGAGCUCUAGAAAGAAUGGAGGAAAGCCUACGAGGCCGGGCGCUUCCUCUAUCAGUGGAAUAAUAACGAUAAUGUCCAUGCAGGUGUCCCAGGCUCGGCAUGUUGUGGGCACACGUACCGAAGUGUCCAGGGGGAGGGACGGAGCUAGGGCAACAUCCCUGCUUUUCAGAUGCUGGAAGGGAGGCUGCACGAAGUCCAGAAGCCUGCCAAGUUCCUGCAGCUUGUGAGCGCUGGGCCUGCUACAGGGACACAUACCUGGCUGGGCUGAUGGUUUCCCCGUCCUUGAUAUCCUUCAUGUGACCUGGCAGUGUUGGAAGGUGGGAGCCCUGCCACCAGCCGCGGGUGCUUAGGGGCCCUUCCACAGCAGGGGUGCCUGAGAGGAGCCACGUUGUGGAACUGGAUGAGUAUGGCCCUGUCCACAACUCCCCGGAAGGGAGGUGACCACCUGAGAAAAUGACAACGUGCCUAGUGAUAACAGCCUUACUCAAUGGGCCGAGAUUUUUAUAAAAUACUUUUAAAAAGUGGUCUGUCCAUUGGCCUUAAAAAUGCUGCAUUUCAGUGGAACCUUGUGGGCAGCCACAGGUGGGCUGGAUCUUCACUGCCAGGCAUUAUUUUUCCAGCAGAGACGUCCAUCCCCACCCCGGUGACCCAGAAGGCCACUUUUCAAAGAAGGAUGAGCUGCCAAAGCAGUGACACUCCAGGUCUGGACUUCAUGCAUCGGGGGGAUGCGUCACGCCUUGUGGAUGACGAGGAGGGGGGCGGGGAGGGGGGAUGCCGGGUAAACAUCCACUCUCUUUAUUGAUCUGAUUCAUCCAAUUACACGGGAGCCUCAUCUAGGCAACGUUCAAGGGAUGACUCAAAUGUCACCUGAAUGAUGCCUGAAUGGCUUCGGCCAGGACUUUUCAUCUUUCUGAUGUCACAGAAGGCUUUUAGUUACAGAGAAUAUUAAUUGCAACCGAGGGCUGGGCGCAGAGUUAAACGGAAAUGAAAAGUCCCAACGUGGCUAUGCUACCACGAUGUAUUUACCAGGAGGACGGGCACUGGGCCAAGCUGAGCCAGCUGGGUGACUUUAUCAUGAUUGUCAUUUCUAUGUCUCUUCCUUAACUCGUACGUGAUGGAAGGCAGCCUGUAUCCUUGAUACUUCUUUGCCAAUUCAGAUCUAAUCAUCAAAAUUCAAUUCUACACAGUGCGUCGGAGUCCCUGACUCACAGAGGUAUUUGAUAUUUCAAGUGAGAAGACCCAGUUGUCCCCUGAAACAGUAUCUAAGCUUUGAUUUCCAAAGUUCCCCUCUAUUUCUUGCAGGCCCUUUUUAAGAUCAGAACUUAGCUUACCUGAAUCCUCCAGUGUAAAGAUGGAGAGGGUCUCUCAGGUUUCUAAACAUAUAGAAUAUCAAACUAUUGUUUCUGUUAAAAUCAUUUCACUUUUGGGGCGCCUGGGUGGCUCAGUCGGUUAAGUGUCCGACUUCGGCUCAGGUCACGAUCUUGUGGCUCGCGAGUUUGAGCCCCGCGUCGGGCUCUGUGCUGACAGCUUGGAGCCUGGGGCCUGCUUCCGAUUCUGUGUUUCCCUCUCUCUCUGACCCUCCCCCCAUUCAUGCUCUGUCUCUGUCUCAAAAAUA